rnacentral:rRNA from 1 species
GGGGAAUAUUGGACAAUGGGCGAAAGCCUGAUCCAGCCAUGCCGCGUGAGUGAUGAAGGCCCUAGGGUUGUAAAGCUCUUUCAACGGUGAAGAUAAUGACGGUAACCGUAGAAGAAGCCCCGGCUAACUUCGUGCCAGCAGCCGCGGUAAUACGAAGGGGGCUAGCGUUGUUCGGAAUUACUGGGCGUAAAGCGCACGUAGGCGGAUACUUAAGUCAGGGGUGAAAUCCCGGGGCUCAACCCCGGAACUGCCUUUGAUACUGGGUAUCUCGAGUCCGGAAGAGGUGAGUGGAAUUCCGAGUGUAGAGGUGAAAUUCGUAGAUAUUCGGAGGAACACCAGUGGCGAAGGCGGCUCACUGGUCCGGUACUGACGCUGAGGUGCGAAAGCGUGGGGAGCAAAC